CCUACGGGAGGCAGCAGUGGGGAAUAUUGCACAAUGGGCGCAAGCCUGAUGCAGCCAUGCCGCGUGUGCGAAGAAGGCCUUCGGGUUGUAAAGCACUUUCAGUCAGGAGGAAAGGUUAGUAGUUAAUACCUGCUAGCUGUGACGUUACUGACAGAAGAAGCACCGGCUAACUCCGUGCCAGCAGCCGCGGUAAU
rnacentral:rRNA from 1 species